rnacentral:lncRNA from 1 species
UUAGAGACCCUCUGCACCAAAGCGAAAGCAAGUGUCUUUGGCAAAACAAGCGAAGACAGUGACUAUAGUCAUGAAGGAAAUGAAGUGAACACAGAGUUACAGUGUGGAAUGUUUAAGUUUGACGGUGGAGAUACACCAUGUGAAGCGGAGAUUUCAGAGGUAUUUCAUGUAUCUAAACCACCUUUGGUUCCAAGAGGGCCACGUGCAAACACCAUCCCUAACGAUGUAACUGCUUCCAUGUCGUCAUCACAAAACCAGCGGAUUACUCAUCAAGAGAAAAGUGCAAAAGAAAAGAAGAGAGGAGGCAAGCAAGAAAGAUGCACCGUGAGGAGCAAGAGCCCACCGAUCAGUCCAAACCAUGAUGAAUCAAAAGGAGUUUCCUUCGUGGACAUGACAACAGUUGAAUGGGAU